rnacentral:rRNA from 1 species
CCUACGGGUGGCAGCAGUGAGGAAUAUUGGUCAAUGGACGAGAGUCUGAACCAGCCAAGUAGCGUGAAGGAUGACUGCCCUAUGGGUUGUAAACUUCUUUUAUAAAGGAAUAAAACGAGGCACGUGUGCCUUUUUGCAUGUACUUUAUGAAUAAGGCUCGGCUCACUCCGUGCCAGCAGCCGCGGUAAUACGGAGGAUACGAGCGUUAUCCGGAUUUAUUGGGUUUAAAGGGAGCGUAGAUGGGUUGUUAAGUCAGUUGUGAAAGUUUGCGGCUCAACCGUAAAAUUGCAAUUGAUACUGGCAGUCUUGAGUACAGUUGAGGUAGGCGGAAUUCGUGGUGUAGCGGUGAAAUGCUUAGAUAUUACGAAGAACCCCGAUUGCGAAGGCAGCUUACUAAACUGUGACUGACAUUGAUGCUCGAAAGUGUGGGUAGCAAACAGGAUUAGAUACCCUUGUAGUC